rnacentral:lncRNA from 1 species
AGUCCCUGAGUUAGCUGACCGCCAGGGCAGGGAGGCCAUGUUGCUCCACACUUUUUUGAAGAAGGCCUUACCUUGAUUCCAUAUGUUUCAGAAUUAGCUGUGUCAUCUACAAGAGAAGGCCAAAGGUACACAUUUUACAAAUGAAGGAAGAGGCAACCCCAUGGACUGAAAUGUUCUCUGAAGUAGAAUUGACCGCAAUCAGGCCUGGCAGGCCUGGAGCAGAUCCUGACUGCAGCAGGUGCUGUCGUGGUAAGAGUGAGUCAUCUCCGGAUCUGGUGGUUUAGGAGUGUGUGGCACCUCCCCCUUCUCUUCCUGCUGCUCCAGGCAUGAGAAGUGCUCGCUCCCUCUUUGCCUUCCGCCACGUUUGUAAGUUUCCUGAGGCCUCCGAAGCCGAGCAAAUGCCAGCAUCAUCCUUCCUGUACAAGCCUGCAGAACUAAUGAGUCGCAUGGCUUCACACAGGUGUCAAGGAGCCUGGCAAGCUCCCUGCUGGGAGCCAUUUACCAGCUGCAACUCCACCCUACGGAAGAGAGAGUAGGCAUCUGGGUGGACAAUGAGUUGUUCCUGCCACCAGGAUCUUAUGUUUAUUCACUGCCAUGAUGACCUGAAUUAUUUUGGAUAGAAGACACUUCAGGAUUCAAUAGGAAGGAUCAGUGAGGCAACAGGAGUGGCGGCAGAGAAAGAACCACUAUGAAGUUUAAAGAGACACUUAGAAACAGAAUGGUCAUGAACAACGCCCAUAUAUGUUUUUUCAUUCCUUUAUUUUCAACCUCUCUGAAUCAACAUUGGAUUUUGAAGCCCCAUCUGAGUAUUUGCCAUUUAUCAUCUGGCACACCUUGGCUCCAAAAGGAUCCCCUUGGCUGUGACUGUCCCUCAUGGGAGAAAAGGAGAGCAGGAUGACUCCAGCAGCCUCAGCCACCACAGACAUCUGCCUCUUUUACCCUUGAGGACUUCAACAGUUUUCACAGAUGCCGAUCCAAGCCAAUGGGCCUGCGUGGAGUCCACACCACUGCACCUACUCUGAAGAAGAAGCCACCACUCCAGCCUUGGCACCACCAUGCCUGCACUGUACCCUCAACUCUGACACCAGGAGGGAUCCCCUUGGUCAUAACUUCCCCCAUGAGGGAAAAAGGAGAACAGGAAGAUCUGCAUCCGCCUUCACUACCAAGACCCCACAAUCUUUGCCAACACUAACCCAAGCUGACUGCUUGGAGUCCACAGCAUUGCACACGCACCCCACCCCCAGGGCCAGAGUUAUCGGUGCAUUCUCCUAGAGCCAAAGCCACCACACAGAAUCCAGCCACCUCCCUCACACUCAACCAUAGGUGAGGGUGUUUCCCCACCAAAGCCAGUUAAUAAAGACUGGAAGAGGUGAUUUCUUCUUCAAAUGCACAGACAUUAAUGCAAGACUCCAAGGAACAUGAAAAAUCAAGGAAACAUGACACAACUAAAGGAACAUAAUAAAUUUCCAGUAAGUGGCCCCAAGGAAAUAGAGAUCUAAAACUGUCUAACAAAGAAGUCAAAAUAAUUGUUUUAAAGAAGAUCAGCAAACUACAAAAGAAGACAAAUAGGCUGGGCAUGGUGGCUAAUGCCUGUAAUCCCAGCACUUUGGGAGGCCAUGGUGGGUGGAUCACCUGAAGUCAGGAGUUCGAGACCAACUUGGCCAACAUGGUGAAACCCCAUCUCUACUAAAAAUACAAAAAUUAGCUGGGCAUGGUGGUGCACACCUGUAAUCCCAGCUACUCAGGAGGUAAUCCCAGCUGGCUCAGGAGGCUGAGGCAGGAGAAUCACUUGAAUCCGGGAGGCAGAGGCUGCAGUGAGCCGAGAUUGCACCACUGCACUACAGCCUGGGCGGCUGAGUGAGACUCCAUCUCAAAAUAAAUAAAUAAAAGAACACAGAUAGACAACUCAACAAAAUGAGGGGGGAAAUACAUGAAUAAAAUGAGAACAAUAAAGAGGUAGAAAUUAUAAAAACAACCAAACAGAAAUUAUGCAGCUGAAGAAUUUGAUGAAUAAAAUGAAAAAUGCAAUAGAAAGCCUUAACAGCAGACUCAAUCUAGCAGAAAAAAGAAUCUGUGAACUUGAAGAAAGGACAUUUGAAAUUAUCCAGUCAGAGACAAAGAAGAAAAAAGAAUUAAAAAGAUUGAAGAAAGCCUAUAAGAUUUAUGGGACAUAAACAAGCAACCCAGUAUAUAUAUUAUGGUAUUCCAAAGAGAACAGAGAAAGAAAAGGGCAACAGGCUUAUGUGAAAAAUAAGGUCUGAAAAAUUCCCAAAUCUUGAGAGGAAAAUGGACAUCCAGGUUCAUGACUCCCAAAUCACCUCAAAUAGGAUCACACAAAUUAAGAAUACUCUGAGACACCUGAUAAUUAAAUUGUCAAAAUUUAAGGACAAAGAGAGCAUUUUGAAAGCAGCAAGAGAAAAGUUGGAACCCCCUACUAGCAGAUUUCUCAGCAGAAACCUUGCAGGCAAAAAGAGAGUGGGAUAAUAUAUUCAAAAUACUGAAAGGAAAAAAAAAAGCUGUCGACCAAGAAUACUAUACCCAGCACAAUUAUCCUCUUUAAAUAGAGGAAAGAUAACGUGUUUCCCAGACAAAAACUGAGGAAGUUCAUCACCACUAGAUUUGCCUUAAGAAAUGCUUAAGGCAGGUCCUCAAAUUGAAAUGAAAACACACUAAACAACAACACAAAUCAUAUGAAAGCAUUAAUCUCACAGGUAAGGGAAAAUAUUUGGAUAAAUAUAAAAUAAUAUAAUAGUUGUAAUGAUGGUGCACAAAUCACUUUUUGCCCUAAUAUAAAAGUUAAAAGAUAAAAAUUUGUUAACAGAUACCCGGUAUAAAAAGCAAACUUUACAGGCAUGAUGGCACACACCUGUGGUCUCAGCUACUUGGGAGGUUGAGAUGGGGGGAUCACUUUAGCCUGGGAAGUGGAGGUUGCAGUGAGCCAAGAUCAUGCCACUGCACUGCAGCCUGGGUGACAGAGUGAGACCCUAUCUCAGAAAAAAAGAAAAAAAAAAGCAAACUCUUUCUACAAAAACACAAAGAGGGGAGAACAAAAGUGUGGAGUUUUUGUAUGUAAUUAAAUUGUUAUCAACUUAAAGUAGACAAUUAUAAGAUAUUUUAUGUAAGCCUCAAGCUAAUCACAAUGAAGAAAAAGCAAUAAUCGAUACAAAAAAGAUAAAGAGAAAAUAAUGAAAGCAAAUCAAUGCAAAAAAUCAUGAAAUAAAGGAAAACAGCAAAAGAGGAAGAGGGACAAAACAACCACAAAACAGACAGAAAACCAUUUACAAAAUGACAAUAGUAAGUCCUCACCUAUCAAUAAUUAUAUUAAAUGUAAAUGAAUUAAACUCCCCAGUCAAAAGGCAUAGAGUGGUUGAAUGGACUUAAAAAACAAGAUCCAGUGGUACGGUGUCUGCAAGAGAUUCACAUAAGCUGGGCAUGGAGCAUGGGGAAGUCAAGGCUGCAGUGAGUCAUGAUCACACCACUGCACUCCAACCUGGGUGACAGAGUGAGAUCCUGUCUCAUAAAAAAAAAAAAAAAAAAAAAAAAACAGAAGAAAGAAGACAAUUCGAUUCACAAUAGCAACAAAAAGAAGAAAAUACUUAGGAAUGAACUGGUAAAAGACUUGUACGCUAAAAUUUAUAAAACAUUAAUGAAGGAAAUGAAAGAAGACACAAAAAUGGAAAGAUGUCUGUGUUCAUGGAUUAGAAGAUAGAAGAAUUAAUACUGUUUAAAUGUGCAUACUAUUGAAAAUAACCUACAGAUUCAAUGCAAUCCCUAUCAAAAAUCUCAAUGGCAUUUUUUAUAGAAAUAAAGAAAAUCCAAAAAUUCAUAUGGAACCACAAAAGAUCACAAAUAGCCAAAACAAUCUUGAGCAAGAAGAACAAAGUGGGAAGCAUCACACUUCUUGACUUCAAAAUAUAUUAUAAAGCUACAGUAAUCAAAAUAGAAUGCUUUACUAACAUUAAAAAAGACAUAUAAACCAAUGGAACAGAAUAGAGAGCCUGGAUAUAAAUUCACACAUCUACAGUCAACUGAUUUUUAACAAAGGUGGCAAGAGCACACAAUUAGGAAAAGAUAGUCUCUUCAACAAAUGGUGUUGGGAAAACUAGAUAUCCGCAUGCAGAAAAAUGAAAGUGGAACUUAUCUCACACCGUAUACACAAAUCCACCCCAAAGGGAUUAAAGACUUAAAUGCAACCUCUAAAGCCAUAAGAUUAUUAGAGGAAGACAUAGGGGAGAAUCUUCCUGAUGUUGGUCAGGGCAAUUAUUUUUUAGAUAUGACACUGAAAGCACAAGCAACAAAAUAAAAAUAGACAAUUGAAAUUGCAUCAAACUGGCCAGGUGCGGUGGCUCACACCUGUAAUCCCAACACUUUGGGAGGCUGAGGUGGGUGAGUCACAAGGUCAGGAGAUCGAGACCAUCCUGGCUAACACAGUGAAACCCUGUCUCUACUAAAAAGACAAAAAAUUAGCUGGGCGUGGUGGCAGGCGCCUGUAGUCCCAGCUACGCAGGAGGCUGAGGCAGAAGAAUGGUGUGAACCUGGGAGGCAGAGCUUGCAGUGAGCCGAGAUCACACCACUGCACUCCAGCCUGGGCGACAGAGCAAGACUCCAGCUCAAAAAAAAAAGAAAGAAAAUGCAUCAAACUAAAAAGCAUCUGUGCAGCAAAGGAAACAAUCAACAGAGUGAAAAGGUAACCUACAAAAUGGAAUAAAGUAUUUGCCAACUACAUGUCUGAUAAAGGAUUGAUAUUCAAACUAUAUAAAGAGCUAAUAAAACUUAAUAGCAAAACAAAACAAAUAACGUGAUUUUAAAAAAGGAAGAAGGAUGUAAAUAGACAUUUUUCAAAAGAAAACAUACAAAUGGUCAAUAGGCAUAUGAAAAGAUGUUCAAUAUCGCUAAUUAUCAAGGAAAUGCAGAUGAAAACCACAAUGAGCUAUCACUUCACACCUGUUAGAAUAGCUACUAUAAAAAAGACAAAAGAUAAGUAUUGGCGAGGAUGCAGAGAAAAGGGAACUCUUGUAUACUGUUGGUGGGAAUGUAAAUUGGUACAGCCAUUAGGGAAAACUGUAUGGAAGUUCCUUCAAAUAAUAACUACUUUAUGAUCCAGCUUCUGGCUAUAUAUCCAAAGGAAAUGAAAUCAGUAUGUCUUCAAGGUAUUUGCACUCCCUUGUUCAUUACAGUACUAUUCACAAUAGCCAAGAUAUGGAAGUAACCCCAAUAUCCAUUAACAGAUGAAUAAGGAAAAUGUGGCACACACACACACACACACACACACACACACACACAAUGGAAUAUCAUUUAGCCUUUAAAAAGAGAAGGAAAUCCUGACAUUUAUGACAACAUGGAUAAAUGUUGGACAUGGAUAAAUGAGGAGAUUAUGCUAAGUGAAAUAAGUCAGACACAAAGACAAAUACUGCAUGAUCUCACUUAUAUGUGGAAUCUAAAACAGUCAAGCUCAUGGAACUACAGAGUAGAAUGUUGCUGCUAGAGGCUGGGGGAGGGGUAAAUGGUGAGAUGUUGGUCAAGGGACACAAAGUUUCAGUUAUGCAGGAUGAAUGAGAUCUAGAGAACUAAUAGACAUAGUUAACAAGGACAUAGUUAACAUAGAACAUAAUUAACAAGGCUGUAUUAUAUGCUUGAAAUUUGCUAAGAACUGUAAAUCUCGUUUUCUCACCCCUCCCAAAAAAGAACAAGAAAAGAUCAUGGUAAUGAUAUGAAAUAAUAGAUACGUUCGUUAACUUGAUUAUGGUGAUUAUUUCACAAUGUAUACAUAUUUCAAUAUAUUAAGAAGUCAUACACUUAAAUAUAUACAAUUUUUAUUUGUCAAUUAUUCAUCAGUAAAGGUGCAAGGAAAUAUUCAAUAUUUUUUAAGUUAAAGGAGAACAAAAUAAAUACACAAAAAUUAGAUGGCAGUGCUCUUGAAAUGGGUGUGGGGAUGUGUGUGGAGAGGGUGGGUGCUGCGUGGGGCUUGAGUGGGGCCACCCUGCUUGUGUCCAGCUGGGCUGAGUGAUUGUCUAAGGCCACAGCAAUUACACACACUCCCUAAGGGAACUCUGUCUACAACUAGGCAGAAAUGAUGGGAACCAUGAAUUUGAUGGUAGGCCAUGAAUUUGAUGUCUUUAUUUGAUGUAAGCCUAUUUGGCUGCUGUUAAGUAUUGGGUUUUUCUUAUAACCUCCAGUAAUUAGAAAUAAAUGAGGACUGUAGGUACCCUCCCACAAAACCCAGCCAGCAGAUGGUGCCUUACAAGGCAAGCAAGCUUCAGACUGAACUCUACCACACCUAAAACAUCAAGCUGGAUCAAAGAGUCAGGAACCUGUUCUUGAAAGCUCAGUGGAGCCCCAGCUCUCUGACCCUUAGGCAGUCUACUAAAUGUCUUGCAUGAGGGCUCAUCCCCGGUAGAUAAAAUAUUCUAAGGGGUGGAUACAGUCAACCUUCUAGCUAAAUCACAUGGCAGAAUCCUCCACUACGUGGCAGGAUGUGGGACCAAAUCACAGUUCAAGGCCAUGAAUGCUACUCUGCUAUACCCACAGAUAUUACACCUGUAAAUCAAAAAGUGUCUGAGACAGGUCUCAAUCCAUGCUGAAGUUUAUUUUUCCAAGGUUAAGGACAUUCCAGUGGCACAGCCUCAGGAGGUCCUGCGAACAUAUACCCAAGGUGGUUGGGCUACAACUUGGUCUUACAUGUUUUAGAGAGACAUAAGAUAUCCAUCAAUACAUGUAAGAUGUACGUUGCUUCUGUCCAGAAAGGCAAAACAACUCAAAGGGGUGGGUGUGGGGGGACUUACAGGUCAUAGGUGGAUUCAAAGAUUUCCUGAUUGGUAAUUGGUUGAAAAAGUUUAUCUAAACACCUGGAAUCAAGAGAAGGGAGUGUCUGGGUAAGAUAAGAGAUUGUGGAGACCAAGGUGUUUAUUAUGCAGAUGAAGCCUCCAGGUAGCAGGCUUUAGAGAGAAUAGAUUGUAAAUGUUUCUUAUCAGACUCCCAGUUAAUUCUCUCCUGAAUCAGGAAAAUGACCUGGAAAGGGAAGGGGAUUCUCUACAGACCAUAGAUUUUCCCCACAACAGAGAGCUUUGCAGGGCCAUUUCAAAAUGUGUCAAAGAAAUACAUUUGGGGGUAAAAUACUUUGAUUUCUUUU